CUUGCACCUGAUUGACGAUGGAUCACCAGUGAGUGGCGGACGGGUGAGUAACACGUAGGUAACCUGCCCCGGAGCGGGGGAUAACAUUUGGAAACAGAUGCUAAUACCGCAUAACAACAAAAGCCACAUGGCUUUUGUUUGAAAGAUGGCUUUGGCUAUCACUCUGGGAUGGACCUGCGGUGCAUUAGCUAGUUGGUAAGGUAACGGCUUACCAAGGCGAUGAUGCAUAGCCGAGUUGAGAGACUGAUCGGCCACAAUGGAACUGAGACACGGUCCAUACUCCUACGGGAGGCAGCAGUAGGGAAUCUUCCACAAUGGGCGCAAGCCUGAUGGAGCAACACCGCGUGAGUGAAGAAGGGUUUCGGCUCGUAAAGCUCUGUUGUUGGAGAAGAACGUGCGUGAGAGUAACUGUUCACGCAGUGACGGUAUCCAACCAGAAAGUCACGGCUAACUACGUGCCAGCAGCCGCGGUAAUACGUAGGUGGCAAGCGUUAUCCGGAUUUAUUGGGCGUAAAGCGAGCGCAGGCGGUCGCUUAGGUCUGAUGUGAAAGCCUUCGGCUUAACCGAAGAAGUGCAUCGGAAACCGGGCGACUUGAGUGCAGAAGAGGACAGUGGAACUCCAUGUGUAGCGGUGGAAUGCGUAGAUAUAUGGAAGAACACCAGUGGCGAAGGCGGCUGUCUGGUCUGCAACUGACGCUGAGGCUCGAAAGCAUGGGUAGCGAACAGGAUUAGAUACCCUGGUAGUCCAUGCCGUAAACGAUGAGUGCUAGGUGUUGGAGGGUUUCCGCCCUUCAGUGCCGGAGCUAACGCAUUAAGCACUCCGCCUGGGGAGUACGACCGCAAGGUUGAAACUCAAAGGAAUUGACGGGGGCCCGCACAAGCGGUGGAGCAUGUGGUUUAAUUCGAAGCUACGCGAAGAACCUUACCAGGUCUUGACAUCUUGCGCUAACCUUAGAGAUAAGGCGUUCCCUUCGGGGACGCAAUGACAGGUGGUGCAUGGUCGUCGUCAGCUCGUGUCGUGAGAUGUUGGGUUAAGUCCCGCAACGAGCGCAACCCUUGUUACUAGUUGCCAGCAUUAAGUUGGGCACUCUAGUGAGACUGCCGGUGACAAACCGGAGGAAGGUGGGGACGACGUCAGAUCAUCAUGCCCCUUAUGACCUGGGCUACACACGUGCUACAAUGGACGGUACAACGAGUCGCAAGCUCGCGAGAGUAAGCUAAUCUCUUAAAGCCGUUCUCAGUUCGGACUGUAGGCUGCAACUCGCCUACACGAAGUCGGAAUCGCUAGUAAUCGCGGAUCAGCAUGCCGCGGUGAAUACGUUCCCGGGCCUUGUACAC
rnacentral:rRNA from 2 species